GGGCCGGUAGCUCAGUCGGUUAGAGCGCAUCGCUGAUAACGAUGAGGUCCGUGGUUCGAUUCCACGUCGGCCCA
rnacentral:tRNA from 1 species